UACGAAGGGGGCUAGCGUUGCUCGGAAUUACUGGGCGUAAAGCGCACGUAGGCGGCUUUCUAAGCCAGGGGUGAAAUCCUGGAGCUCAACUCCAGAACUGCCUUUGAUACUGGAGAGCUUGAGUCCGGAAGAGGUGAGUGGAACUCCGAGUGUAGAGGUGAAAUUCGUAGAUAUUCGGAAGAACACCAGUGGCGAAGGCGGCUCACUGGUCCGGUACUGACGCUGAGGUGCGAAAGCGUGGGGAGCAAACAGG
rnacentral:rRNA from 1 species